GUGCUCGCUUCGGCAGCACACAUACUAAAAUUGGAAGGAUACAGAGAAGAUCAGCAUGGCCCCUGUGCAAGGAUGCCACGCAAAGUCGUGAAGUAUUCCAUAUUUAA
rfam:Myotis davidii contig188474, whole genome shotgun sequence.